GAUGAACGCUGGCGGCGUGCCUAACACAUGCAAGUCGAGCGAACGGACGAGAAGCUUGCUCCCCUGAUGUUAGCGGCGGACGGGUGAGUAACACGUGGAUAACCUACCUAUAAGACUGGGAUAACUUCGGGAAACCGGAGCUAAUACCGGAUAAUAUUUUGAACCGCAUGGUUCAAAAGUGAAAGACGGUCUUGCUGUCACUUAUAGACGGAUCCGCGCUGCAUUAGCUAGUUGGUAAGGUAACGGCUUACCAAGGCAACGAUGCAUAGCCGACCUGAGAGGGUGAUCGGCCACACUGGAACUGAGACACGGUCCAGACUCCUACGGGAGGCAGCAGUAGGGAAUCUUCCGCAAUGGGCGAAAGCCUGACGGAGCAACGCCGCGUGAGUGAUGAAGGUCUUCGGAUCGUAAAACUCUGUUAUUAGGGAAGAACAUAUGUGUAAGUAACUGUGCACAUCUUGACGGUACCUAAUCAGAAAGCCACGGCUAACUACGUG
rnacentral:rRNA from 1 species